UCAGAUUGAACGCUGGCGGCAGGCCUAACACAUGCAAGUCGAACGGUAACAGGAAACAGCUUGCUGUUUCGCUGACGAGUGGCGGACGGGUGAGUAAUGUCUGGGAAACUGCCUGAUGGAGGGGGAUAACUACUGGAAACGGUAGCUAAUACCGCAUAACGUCGCAAGACCAAAGAGGGGGACCUUCGGGCCUCUUGCCAUCAGAUGUGCCCAGAUGGGAUUAGCUAGUAGGUGGGGUAACGGCUCACCUAGGCGACGAUCCCUAGCUGGUCUGAGAGGAUGACCAGCCACACUGGAACUGAGACACGGUCCAGACUCCUACGGGAGGCAGCAGAGGGG
rnacentral:rRNA from 1 species